UUGAAUAAACUUGAACAGGCUGUUGCUGGCUCCCUCAUGGGGGGGUAUGUGCACGCUUGUCAUCUUUAUUUCUCCACUUGUGCACAUAUUGUAGACCCUGGAAUUGAAUUUGAUCAUUGUUCGAGUUGGGAACUGCUGUGCUUUUCUUUUAAACAGACACCAUUUUUUAAAUGCAUGUGUAGAAUGUGUUACUAUUUGCGAUCACACGCAAUCAAUA
rnacentral:misc_RNA from 1 species